AACAGAUGUGAUGAGUUUUUUUUACCGCCCCAGUCUGAAUUACUGUGACUGAGUGGUAUCCUCUGAUCUUUU
rnacentral:snoRNA from 1 species